GAUGAACGCUAGCGACAGGCUUAACACAUGCAAGUCGAGGGGCAGCACAGGUAGCAAUACCGGGUGGCGACCGGCGCACGGGUGAGUAACGCGUAUGCAACUUACCUAUCAGAGGGGGAUAACCCGGCGAAAGUCGGACUAAUACCGCAUGAAGCAGGGGUCCCGCAUGGGGAUAUUUGCUAAAGAUUCAUCGCUGGUAGCUAGGCAUGCGUUCCAUUAGGCGGGUGGCGGGGUCACGGCCCACCAAACCCACGAAGGGUAGGGGUUAGGAGAGGAAGGUCCCCCGCAAUGGUACUGAGGCACGGACCAAACUCCUACGGAAGGCAGCAGUGAGGAAGAUUGGUCGAUGGCCGAGAGGCUGAACCAGCCAAGUCGCGUGAGAGAUGAAGGUUCUAGGGAUCGUAAACCUCUUUUAUAAGAGAAUAAAGUGCGGGACGUGUCCCGUUUUGUAUGUACCUUAUGAAUAAGGAUCGGCUAACUCCGUG
rnacentral:rRNA from 1 species